CGCCUUCUCUCCCACCUAAGUGCRUGCUACCACCCCAUGGAAGAUUCGAUGGAUAUGGACAUGAGCCCCCUGAGGCCCCAGAACUACCUUUUCGGUUGUGAGCUAAAAGCUGACAAAGAUUAUCACUGUAAGGUGGAUAAUGAUGAAAAUGAGCACCAGUUAUCAUUAAGAACGGUCAGUUUAGGGGCUGGUGCAAAGGAUGAAUUGCAUAUUGUUGAAGCAGAGGCAAUGAAUUAUGAAGGCAGUCCAAUUAAAGUAACACUGGCAACAUUGAAAAUGUCAGUACAGCCAACGGUUUCCCUUGGGGGCUUUGAAAUCACACCACCUGUGGUCUUAAGGUUGAAGUGCGGUUCAGGGCCUGUGCAUAUUAGUGGCCAGCACUUAGUAGCUGUGGAGGAAGAUGCAGAGUCAGAAGAU